rnacentral:rRNA from 1 species
UACAGAGGGUGCAAGCGUUAAUCGGAUUUACUGGGCGUAAAGCGUGCGUAGGCGGUUCAUUAAGUCGGUUGUGAAAUCCCUGGGCUUAACCUGGGAACUGCAGUCGAUACUGGUGAACUAGAAUGCGGUAGAGGGUGGCGGAACUCCGGGUGUAGCGGUGAAAUGCGUAGAUAUCCGGAAGAACACCGAUGGCGAAGGCAA